rnacentral:rRNA from 1 species
UACGUAGGGCGCAAGCGUUAUCCGGAAUUAUUGGGCGUAAAGAGCUCGUAGGCGGUUUGUCGCGUCUGCCGUGAAAGUCCGGGGCUCAACUCCGGAUCUGCGGUGGGUACGGGCAGACUAGAGUGAUGUAGGGGAGACUGGAAUUCCUGGUGUAGCGGUGGAAUGCGCAGAUAUCAGGAGGAACACCAAUGGCGAAGGCAGGUCUCUGGGCCACAACUGACGCUGAGGAGCGAAAGCGUGGGGAGCGAACAGG